GCUGGGCAUGGUGGCUCAUGCCUGUAAUCCCAGCACUUUGGGAGGCUGAGGUGGGUGGAUCGCCUGAGGUCAGGAACUUGAGACCAGCCUGGCCAACAUGGUGAAACCCCGUCUCUA
rnacentral:SRP_RNA from 1 species